GAUGAACGCUGGCGGCGUGCCUAAUACAUGCAAGUCGAGCGAACGGACGAGAAGCUUGCUUCUCUGAUGUUAGCGGCGGACGGGUGAGUAACACGUGGAUAACCUACCUAUAAGACUGGGAUAACUUCGGGAAACCGUAGCUAAUACCGGAUAAUAUUUUGAACCGCAUGGUUCAAAAGUGAAAGACGGUCUUGCUGUCACUUAUAGAUGGAUCCGCGCUGCAUUAGCUAGUUGGUAAGGUAACGGCUUACCAAGGCAACGAUGCAUAGCCGACCUGAGAGGGGGAUCGGCCACACUGGAACUGAGACACGGUCCAGACUCCUACGGGAGGCAGCAGUAGGGAAUCGUCCGCAAUGGGCGAGAGCCUGACGGAGCAACGCCGCGUGAGUGAUGAAGGUCUUCGGAUCGUAAAACUCUGUUAUUAGGGAAGAACAUAUGUGUAAGUAACUGUGCACAUCUUGACGGUACCUAAUCAGAAAGCCACGGCUAACUACGUG
rnacentral:rRNA from 1 species